CAAUAGCGUAUAUUAAAGUUGUUGCGGUAAAAAAGCUCGUAGUUGGAUUUCUACCGAAGAUAGCCGGUCGGGUCUUCGACCUUGUAUCUGGUUUUGUCUUUGGUAUCCUCAUAGGGAACGUUUCUGCGCUUUAUUGCGUGGUGCGGUAUCUAUGACUUUUACUUUGAGGAAAUUAGAGUUUUCACGGCAGGCAAACGCCUUGAAUAUAUUAGCAUGGAAUAAUAACAUAGGAUCUUCGUCCUAUUUUGUUGGUUUCUAGGGCUAAGAUAAUGAUUAAUAGGGAUAAUUGGGGGCAUCUGUAUCAACGCGUCAGAGGUGGAAUUCUUGGAUUGCGUUGCGACAAACUACUGCGAAAGCAUUUGCCAAGGAUGUUUUCAUUGA
rnacentral:rRNA from 1 species